CCCUCGUGGUCCGAGUUGUAAUUUGUAGAGGAUGCUUUUGGUGCGGUGCCUUCCGAGUUCCCUGGAACGGGACGCCAGAGAGGGUGAGAGCCCCGUACGGUUGGACACCUACCCUAUAUAUAGCUCCUUCGACGAGUCGAGUAGUUUGGGAAUGCUGCUCUAAAUGGGAGGUAAAUUUCUUCUAAAGCUAAAUACCGGCCAGAGACCGAUAGCGCACAAGUAGAGUGAUCGAAAGAUGAAAAGCACUUUGAAAAGAGGGUUAAAUAGCACGUGAAAUUGUUGAAAGGGAAGCGUUUGCGACCAGACCUUUUCCCGGCGGAUCAUCUGGUGUUCUCACCGGUGCACUUCGCUUGGUUUAGGCCAGCAUCGGUUUCUUUAGGGGGAUAAAGGCGUUGGGAACGUAGCUCUUUCGGGAGUGUUAUAGCCCUUCACGUAAUACCCUUCGAGGGACCGAGGACCGCGCAUUGCAAGGAUGCUGGCGUAAUGGUCGUCAACGACCCGUCUUGAAACACGGACCAAGGAGUCGAACAUUUGUGCGAGUGUUUGGGUGUUAAACCCUCACGCGUAAUGAAAGUGAACGGAGGUGAGAGCCCUUACGGGUGCAUCAUCGACCGAUCCUGAUGUCUUCGGAUGGAUUUGAGUAAGAGCAUAACUGUUCGGACCCGAAAGAUGGUGAACUAUGCGUGGAUAGGGUGAAGCCAGAGGAAACUCUGGUGGAGGCUCGCAGCGGUUCUGACGUGCAAAUCGAUCGUCAAAUCUGCGCAUGGGGGCGAAAGUAAGUUCCAUACCUACCCUAUAUACAGCUACCCUGUAGCUACCCUAUAUAUACAUCUAUAACGAGAAUUUAAUGCUAACAAGUUUUCCCUUCAGGACUUAUCGAACCAUCUAGUAGCUGGUUACCGCCGAAGUUUCCCUCAGGAUAGCAGUGUUGUAUUCAGUUUUAUGAGGUAAAGCGAAUGAUUAGGGACUCGGGGGCGCUUUAUUGCCUUCAUCCAUUCUCAAACUUUAAAUAUGUAAGAAGCCCUUGUUGCUUAAUUGAACGUGGGCAUUCGAAUGUAUCAACACUAGUGGGCCAUUUUUGGUAAGCAGAACUGGCGAUGCGGGAUGAACCGAACGCGGGGUUAAGGUGCCAGAGUGGACGCUCAUCAGACACCACAAAAGGUGUUAGUACAUCUUGACAGCAGGACGGUGGCCAUGGAAGUCGGAAUCCGCUAAGGACUGUGUAACAACUCACCUGCCGAAUGUACUAGCCCUGAAAAUGGAUGGCGCUCAAGCGUCUCACCCAUACCUCGCCCUUAGGGUAGAAACGAUGCCCUAAGGAGUAGGC
rnacentral:rRNA from 1 species